GCGAGGGCAGACCCGGGGCCACGCCCCCGAGCCUGUUGCGCAACUCGCGGACCUGGGGAGAGAGGAAAAAAGAAACACCAACGCCCCCCCCCCAAAAAAAAAAAACCAAAAGGAAAAGGAAUAAUGAAGGUUUUGAGGUGUGAGGCGUGAGGCGUGUGAGGGUGGCAUACAUCUACAUGUGUGUCUGUGACAUGUGUUCAGAAGUCAGAGGCACUGGGUCCCCCGGAGCUGGAAUUACUGGCUGUUCUGAGACACCUGACAUGGAUGCUGGGAACCUAACUUGGGUCCUGCGGUAGAGCCAUCUCUCCAGCCACAACAGUGAAAGGUUUUCUUAAAGCAGUUCUCCAACUCAGACAAAUCAGAAGCAUCAGUAAAACCCGAGAUGCUUCAUCUACAUGUGUUUCUGUGCAUCCUCUAUGUGCCUCGUGCCCCCUGAGGUCAGAAGAGGACAUAUAGGUGUUCCAGUCUCAGAUCAGAAGCAAACUUUAGAAGUAUCAAGUAGAAGCUGGACAGAUGGCUCAGCAGAUCACUUCAAAGAACUCAAUGUACCAGGCCCUGUGUCUCCAUGACUUACAGUGACACAGCAACCCACUCUAUUCUGACCUUUCCUGUAGCUUUACUGAAUAAUCCUAUGGAAGAAGAAAGGGAAGCACAAAAGGCCAUGCAUUGAGUUCCCUUUGAAAAUGUGUAGCAACAUUUGGAGUCAUCUAAAACCCACUGAAGUGCCAACAUCUCAACGU
ensembl:processed_transcript BC065397 cDNA sequence BC065397